GAUGAACGCUGGCGGCGUGCCUAAUACAUGCAAGUCGAGCGAACGGACGAGAAGCUUGCUUCUCUGAUGUUAGCGGCGGACGGGUGAGUAACACGUGGAUAACCUACCUAUAAGACUGGGAUAACUUCGGGAAACCGGAGCUAAUACCGGCUAAUAUUUUGAACCGCAUGGUUCAAAAGUGAAAGACGGUCUUGCUGUCACUUAUAGCUGGAUCCGCGCUGCAUUAGCUAGUUGGUAAGGUAACGGCUUACCAAGGAAACGAUGCAUAGCCGACCUGAGAAGGUGAUCGGCCACACUGGAACUGAGACACGGUCCAGACACCUACGGGAGGCAGCAGUAGGGAAUCUUCCGCAAUAGGCGAGAGCCUGACGGAGCAACGCCGCGUGAGUGAUGAAGGUCUUCGGAUCGUAAAACUCUGUUAUUAGGGAAGAACAUAUGUGUAAGUAACUGUGCACAUCUUGACGGUACCUAAUCAGAAAGCCACGGCUAACUACGUG
rnacentral:rRNA from 1 species